rnacentral:rRNA from 1 species
ACCUGCCCAAUGAAUAAUUUUAAUGGCCGCAGUAUUUUGACUGUGCAAAGGUAGCAUAAUCAUUAGUUUUUUAAUUAAAAGCUUGUAUGAAUGGUUGGACGAGAAAAAAUCUGUCUUUAUUAAUAAAAUUGAAUUUAAUUUUUUAGUUAAAAAGCUAAAAUUAAAUUAAAAGACGAGAAGACCCUAUAGAUCUUUAUAAUAAUUUAAAUAAAUUUUAUUUAGAUUUAUAUAUUUAUUUAUUUAUUUUAUUAUUUUAUUGGGGUAAUAGAAAGAUUAAUUAAAUUCUUUUUUAAAAAGUAUAUUUUAUAAUAAUUUUAAGAUCCAUUAAUAAUGAAAAAUGAUUAAGUUACCUUAGGGAUAACAGCGUAAUUUUUUUAGAGAGUUCAUAUUGAUAAAAAAGUUUGCGACCUCGAUGUUGGAUUAAAAUAAAUUUUAGGUGCAGAAGCUUAAAAUUUUGGUCUGUUCGACCAUUAAAUUUUU